GGAACACACCAAAGAUUUCCUCCUGCUUGAAAACUUCUGUUGACACGGGCUUCUGUCUCCAAAGCCUCUUCUGACACCACACCAGUGGUAGCUGCACAGCACAAGCAUGAAGGCCCAGAAUCCUUCUGAAAUACUUAUCCAAACCUAAACUAGCUAAGCCAUUAGUCUCCAAGUAAAAUCGUCUUCAGCUCAGACAGAUGCCAGGAAAGCAUCAGCUGUUUCAACCUCCUUCUGACUCCUGCUCUUCAUGCAGAAGCUGUGAGAGGAGCAGCUCCAUCACUUCCCAUCAUCCUGAAGCCAGAGGAAAACUGUAGCUGGUGGUUUCUCUGCUGGCCUUGCACUGAACUCUCCUUUCAGAAGUGCUGAAUGGCCUCACCUCCCACCAAAGUCAAGGCAAGGUGAAGAUGCUCAGCCCCUUUGCUGGAUCAACUCCCUGGUUUCCAAGGCAACUGUUCUUGGGUCCAAGUCCAGACACACAUAAUAGAAGCAUUGGAGUCCAGAAGUGCAAAGAAUAUGGGGGAUCAUAUCCACAAACAUGCACUGGGACAAUCACAGGAUGGCUUUGAUUGGAAGGGACCUUAAAAAUCAUCCAGUUCCACCCCCUGCCAUGGGCAGGGACAUUUUCCACUGUCUCAGGUUACUCCAAGGCCCAUCCAGCCUGGCCUUGGACACUUCCAGGGAUCCAGGGGUAGCCACACCUUCUCUGGGCAUCCUGUAACAGGGCCUCACCACCCUCACAAAGAAGAAAUUUUUGGUCUCAGCAAGAGAAACUUGAGAAGUUUAUGGCAUGGAUAUAUGGAUGGACUGGACCCCACAACACCUACCAGAGGGAUCAGGCCAUGGAGAGUGGGAUCCCUGCACAAGUAGAGACAUUUCAGCAAGGGAGUCUCCUUGGGGAUUGUUCAGCAGAGAGAUGAAAAGCUGUGAAAU